rnacentral:rRNA from 1 species
CUUAACACAUGCAAGUCGAGGGGCAUCAGGAAGAAAGCUUGCUUUCUUUGCUGGCGACCGGCGCACGGGUGAGUAACACGUAUCCAACCUGCCCUUUACUCGGGGAUAGCCUUUCGAAAGAAAGAUUAAUACCCGAUAGCAUAAUGAUUCCGCAUGGUUUCAUUAUUAAAGGAUUCCGGUAAAGGAUGGGGAUGCGUUCCAUUAGGUUGUUGGUGAGGUAACGGCCCACCAAGCCUUCGAUGGAUAGGGGUUCUGAGAGGAAGGUCCCCCACAUUGGAACUGAGACACGGUCCAAACUCCUACGGGAGGCAGCAGUGAGGAAUAUUGGUCAAUGGGCGCUAGCCUGAACCAGCCAAGUAGCGUGAAGGAUGAAGGCUCUAUGGGUCGUAAACUUCUUUUAUAUAAGAAUAAAGUGCAGUAUGUAUACUGUUUUGUAUGUAUUAUAUGAAUAAGGAUCGGCUAACUCCGUGCCAGCAGCCGCGGUAAUACGGAGGAUCCGAGCGUUAUCCGGAUUUAUUGGGUUUAAAGGGAGCGUAGGUGGACUGGUAAGUCAGUUGUGAAAGUUUGCGGCUCAACCGUAAAAUUGCAGUUGAUACUGUCAGUCUUGAGUACAGUAGAGGUGGGCGGAAUUCGUGGUGUAGCGGUGAAAUGCUUAGAUAUCACGAAGAACUCCGAUUGCGAAGGCAGCUCACUGGACUGCAACUGACACUGAUGCUCGAAAGUGUGGGUAUCAAACAGGAUUAGAUACCCUGGUAGUCCACACAGUAAACGAUGAAUACUCGCUGUUUGCGAUAUACAGUAAGCGGCCAAGCGAAAGCAUUAAGUAUUCCACCUGGGGAGUACGCCGGCAACGGUGAAACUCAAAGGAAUUGACGGGGGCCCGCACAAGCGGAGGAACAUGUGGUUUAAUUCGAUGAUACGCGAGGAACCUUACCCGGGCUUAAAUUGCAGUGGAAUGAUGUGGAAACAUGUCAGUGAGCAAUCACCGCUGUGAAGGUGCUGCAUGGUUGUCGUCAGCUCGUGCCGUGAGGUGUCGGCUUAAGUGCCAUAACGAGCGCAACCCUUAUCUUUAGUUACUAACAGGUUAUGCUGAGGACUCUAGAGAGACUGCCGUCGUAAGAUGUGAGGAAGGUGGGGAUGACGUCAAAUCAGCACGGCCCUUACGUCCGGGGCUACACACGUGUUACAAUGGGGGGUACAGAAGGCAGCUAGCGGGUGACCGUAUGCUAAUCCCAAAAUCCUCUCUCAGUUCGGAUCGAAGUCUGCAACCCGACUUCGUGAAGCUGGAUUCGCUAGUAAUCGCGCAUCAGCCACGGCGCGGUGAACACGUUCCCGGGCCUUGUACACACCGCCCGUCAAGCCAUGGGAGCCGGGGGUACCUGAAGUACGUAACCGCAAGGAUCGUCCUAGGGUAAAACUGGUGACUGGGGCUA